UUCACACAAAAUGGAGCCUCUAAUUGAUUGUUUUAGUUUGGGACUAAUACACUAUUAACUUAUUUACUAAUGAAUGUGAACUGCAAAGAUGUUUUAUACAAGGCUGCACAUGGAAUUGUGUAUUGUGUGAACCUAUUGUUGGAAUUCUCCAUCUACCUGAAUAGUGGUUGUGAACUGCCAUGCUUGUUGCCUGUUUUUUGGAAUGGUCGAUAUUGCAUAUACCCUCCCUUUUGUGCAAAUGUGCCAAUAUUAUUGCUUCAUUCCCUUAAAAAUAUGAACUUUCAAAUCUUUUCCAUGCACACCCAGGUAGGUGUAGGUGAUCUAUAUAUCACACCCUGUCUGAAUCACCUGCUCACCAGAUGCAUAUAUAGCCAGGCCAACAUCAAUCUUUCAUUAGGGACCUUCUGUGUAUCCUGAGGAAGUGUGGCUUACCACAUGAAAUGCGUAGAGGAUCUCAGAAGUUUCCAGGAUUUUAAAGAAUUUUUAUUCAAUGCUUAUAUUAAUCUCUGGGGUAUCCCCACAGGAUACACAGAAGGUCUCUGAUGGAAGAUUGAUGUUUGGCCUAUCUAUAUAAGCAUCGAACAUUUUCUUUCCAGACAUAGGAAGUCCUGUUUAAAGCUUUCAGUUUCAAUAUCUUCUGGAAUAAAUCAUGUGGCUCCAUUCCUUC